rnacentral:misc_RNA from 1 species
GAUCAUUAUAGAGUUUCUACUCUUCAACCCCUGUGAACUUACCUAUUAUCCUCCGGCCGGGUCAGGCGCCCGCCGGGGACCAAACAAACUGUAUUUGUCUCCUGUGUACCUCAGAAUUAGGCGUAAAGCCGAAAUGUAACAACUUUUGACAAUGGAUCUCUUGGCACUGGCAUCGAUGAAGAACGCAGCGAAAUGCGAUAAGUAAUGUGAAUUGCAGAGCACAGUGAAUCAUCGAAUCUUUGAACGCACAUGGCGCCCGCUGGUAAUCCGGCGGGCAUGCCUGUCCGAGCGUCAUUUCAACCCUCAGAACCCCUCUCUCGGGAGGGCGUUACUGGUGUUGGGGAUCGAGCGCCCCCCGCGGCGCCCGUCCCUUAAAUCUAUUGGCGGCUCCGGAGUCUGUCUCCCCUGCGUAGUAUUGCAUCUCGCUUUGGUGACGUCCCCGGGCUGCUGUGGCUCUGCCACGAAACCCCCACUAGGUUGACCUCGGAUCAGG